UCCAUUGGAGCCACCUUGCAUUUCCCUGUCAGUUGCCUUUAAAAAAAAAAAGUGUAUAUAGCUCCAUAGAAAGCUGUUUUGGAAAUAAAAGCGGGUCAGGUUAGAAGGUCAUAAAAGAACUGAGGAAAGCCACUCAGAAAAUGCCCCUUGCUGAAGAGCGGCAUUGUUAAUUGCCUCUCCCACAAUAAAGUUCUGGUGUCUGAGGAAAGCUGGAAGAGCUACAAGUAGUGUUUUAAUCUGUCUUCAAGCAGUGGGUGCCAGCAAGGAUAGAAGGCAGCCAGCAGUAUGUUUUUUGUUUUUAGACUUUCUUUUCUGACACCAGCUGGCACUGAAGCACUUGAUGUGUUUAACAGGCAGGAAGGAUGGCUAUGAAAUGGUUUAAAAUAAGUUUGAGGAGUACUGAAAUCUGUGUAAAAACUAAACAUAUGAAAGAUGUUUCUAUAUUUGAUAGGAACUGUAAAUGAAAAGCCAAGCAUUUGUGACUGUUUAGAGGUUGAACAUCCUCAACUUCAAGAGGCUGAAUCCCUGGUGAUAGGCCAGAUUUAACUGCAAUCUGGAAAAAAAAAAACCUCUAGAGAAUGUGCUGUUGAGAUAUCCAAAAUUAACCCUUGGCAAAACAAGCGCAGUUAUAUUCCUUGUUGGUUUGGAGACAUGAUUAUGAAUUACAGGUGUGCUUUGCUUGGUUUUUGUUAAUCCUUUUUCACUGCCCUUUUACAAAUAUGAAGUUUAUUAAUUUCAUUUGUUUGUAAGACUUUGCUUUGUUUUGAUGUCUUCAGAUGCUGUGGAGUGUCUGCACAAAUUUACACACAGAGAAGGGCUGUUUUGUUUAACAGUGUUUUGGGACUUGAAUGUUUUGUUGUUACUCUGCACUGUCUAGCCUUUCCAUUUUGGAAAAUGAGUAUGAAUAUAAAUAAUGUCUCUAGUGGAUAGUCCAUCUCAGAUGUAUUCUGGUCUGGCUUUAGAUUUCAUUUGGUGUUGAGGUUAUUUGUGUGCCUAACACAAUUAACUGCAAAUUUUGACCCUUGUACAUAUGCUGUAUCUCUCAGCUGCUGAUAGGAGGGAAAAUUUGAUUUUUCCUUUGAGUUAUUUUCAUAUGUACAUUUGACUGCAAGUGUGCAGGGAACUUACAAGACUGAGCUUGGAGAUAUUUUGUUUGGCAGUUGCAUAUAGCAUGAGUAUAUAUAAACUGAGGUUUAUAUUUGUGCCAGAAUAAGACAUGCCUAGAGUUCAUAUCAGAGGUAGUUCCAGAUUUUCAGCCAAACCAGCAGAUUCAUGUCAUAUUUUUCUGAAAAUCCCAUCAUCAAGUGUAGAACUGUCUCUCUACUUUUUGGACAAAAACCUGUGGAUUUUUUAUAAAUGCAAACACAAUAUUUUUUUUACACAGUCUGUUGCCAUAAUAAAGAAUCACAUGUAAAACUUGUCAGGUAGACAUGAAAACGUGUAGAGAUUUCAUGGUGGGCUUUCCUGAGAAAGCACUCCAACAGAUUUUGAAUGACAUUGGCAGCUUAACUGAAAACAUUAACUGAUUUUUUUUGUUUUGCAGUAGCAGGAAGCCGUAUAUGCAACAUAUUUAUUUGUAUAGGCAGUGUGUAUGAAAGAACAGCAGCAGGUGGUUUAGAUCUUCCCUUGAAACUGCUUGUGUUCAAAACGGAGAAAUGAGUUCAGAGUUUGAAAAAAAUGGCAAUCCAACCAUUUGUAUGCUCCAUGUCAUACCUCCAUCUUUUCAGAAACUGAAAUAUGCUCUACUACUACUUCCUUUGGUUACCUGCAUUGGUUUUGCAUCAACAAAAUAGUAAGAGAUGGUUUUAGGGCUUUUUGUGCCUUAACUGCAGAAUCAUGUGGAUCAUGAUGUAGUCACUUACGCUCAAGUAUCAAUGGGAGGAAAAUGCAUUCAAGAAAGUGUAUCAAGAAAGUGUAGGCUUGAGCCUUGUGAAAUGAAUAAAUUAUGGGGUUUAAUCGCACCUUCAUUAAACCUGAUGUCAAAGAUUUUGCUGUCUCAAGUGGCACAGGAUGGCUCAGAAAGGAAUUUUGGGACUGAAGGUUGAUGCCAAGGUCUUUGAGAGGUAAACAGGAACUCUCAGUCAUGGAAAGAGAGGAGCAGUGUAAAAAAAAAGACUGAGAGACUGAGAAAGAACAAAAUGCUGUUUGCUUUGCAGUACUUCACUGAAUGAAACUUGGAAGCUACAAAUUUACUUGAUCAAGGCAGAAAAAGAACGAAUGGAGAGGAUGUCAAAACACGUAAGUUUCAGCAGAUAGUGGAUGUGCAGCUGCUGCAAUUAAGCUCUUCAAGGGACAUGUGUUAAGUUGUAAAAGUUUGAAGUCAGAAAUGUUUAUUUUGCACAGUUAUUUGUUGUGCUGGGUGGUGAGCACAUACAGCCCUAUGCAGAUAAGUACAAUGAGAGACUGCACUUUGCCCCAAACACUGACAGGAGUGCUGUGGUGGUGAAUUCCUUCAUUGCCUUGAGUCUGUGGGAACAGGGAAUAAGGGUCCUGCCUGUUCUCUGAGCAAUGGAAAUGGGGUAUUUCUUGCUGCCACUAGCACAGUGACAGGGAGUUCUCCACAUGCCUUCAGAAAAGGCAUUUCUUACAUCUCUGAGCUGUAUACUAUACCUCAUUGCAGAGCAAAGUAUAAUGCUGUAAUAACAUUCAUCGUAUAUUAGUUGGGUAUGCACAUACUACAUUUAAAUUACCUUAAUAACUUUAAUCAAGCUUGUAAUUAAUGUAAAGCUUUAAAAAAUGCAUUUAAAGCA